rnacentral:rRNA from 1 species
AUUGAACGCUGGCGGCAGGCUUAACACAUGCAAGUCGAGCGGGGUGAUGGUGCUUGCACUAUCACUUAGCGGCGGGCGGGUGAGUAAUGCUUAGGAAUCUGCCUAUUAGUGGGGGACAACAUCUCGAAAGGGAUGCUAAUAACGCAUACGUCCUACGGGAGAAAGCAGGGGAUCACUUGUGACCUUGCGCUAAUAGAUGAGGCUAAGUCGGAUUAGCUAGUUGGUGGGGUAAAGGCCUACCAAGGCGACGAUCUGUAGCGGGUCUGAGAGGAUGAUCCGCCACACUGGGACUGAGACACGGCCCAGACUCCUACGGGAGGCAGCAGUGGGGAAUAUUGGACAAUGGGGGGAACCCUGAUCCAGCCAUGCCGCGUGUGUGAAGAAGGCCUUAUGGUUGUAAAGCACUUUAAGCGAGGAGGAGGCUCUUUUGGUUAAUACCCAAGAUGAGUGGACGUUACUCGCAGAAUAAGCACCGGCUAACUCUGUGCCAGCAGCCGCCGUAA